UCUUCAAGCUCAGUGCAAGUUGGUGGU
rnacentral:piRNA from 1 species